rnacentral:rRNA from 1 species
AGCGAGACCCACGCCACAGUUGCCAGCAUGUCCUCCGGGAUGAUGGGGACACUGUUGGGACCGCCUCUGCUAAAGAGGAGGAAGGAAUGGGCAACGGUAGGUCAGCAUGCCCCGAAUUAUCCGGGCUACACGCGGGCUACAAUGGUCAGGACAAUGGGUAUCAACACCGAAAGGUGAAGGCAAUCUCCUAAACCUGUCCUUAGUUCGGAUUGUGGGCUGCAACUCGCCCACAUGAAGCUGGAAUCUGUAGUAAUCGCGUCUCAACAUGGCGCGGUGAAUAUGUCCCUGCUCCUU